AUUGAACGCUGGCGGCAGGCUUAACACAUGCAAGUCGAGCGAGCGGCGGACGGGUGAGUAAUGUCUGGGAAACUGCCUGAUGUAGGGGGAUAACAACUGGAAACGGUAGCUAAUACCGCAUACCAUCAGAUGUGCCCAUAUGGGAUUAGCUAGUAGGUGGGGUAACGGCUCACCUAGGCGACGAUCCCUAGCUGGUCUGAGAGGAUGACCAGCCACACUGGAACGGAGACACGGUCCAGACUCCUACGGGAGGAAGCAGGGGGGAAUAUUGGACAAUGGGGGAAAGCCUGAUGCAGCCAUGCCGCGUGUGUGAAGAAGGCCUUCGGGUUGUAAAGCACUUUCAGCGGGGAGGCGUUACCCGCAGAAGAAGCACCGGCUAACUCCGUGCCAGCAGCCGCGGUAAUUC
rnacentral:rRNA from 1 species